GAUAAACGCUGGCGGCGUGCCUAACACAUGCAAGUCGAACGCCCUUUUGCGCAAGUGAGAGGGAGUGGCGGACGGGUGAGUAACACGUGGGUACCUACCUUGAGGUGAGGAAUACCACCGAGAAAUCGGUGACAAGACCGCAUACGCUUGGCAACAAGCAAAGUCUCGCAAGAGACGCCACAAGAUGGGCCUGCGCCUGAUUAGCUAGUUGGUGAGGUAACAGCUCACCAAGGCGACGAUCAGUAGCUGGUCUGAGAGGAUGAUCAGCCACACUGGGAUUGAGAACGGCCCAGACUCCUAC
rnacentral:rRNA from 1 species